CGGGUCUAAUACUGGAUACGACCUUCCACCGCAUGGUGGGGGGUGGAAAGGGUUUUACUGGUUUUGGAUGGGCUCACGGCCUAUCAGCUUGUUGGUGGGGUAAUGGCUCACCAAGGCGACGACGGGUAGCCGGCCUGAGAGGGUGACCGGCCACACUGGGACUGAGACACGGCCCAGACUCCUACGGGAGGCAGCAGUGGGGAAUAUUGCACAAUGGGCGAAAGCCUGAUGCAGCGACGCCGCGUGAGGGAUGACGGCCUUCGGGUUGUAAACCUCUUUCAGUAGGGAAGAAGCGCAAGUGACGGUACCUGCAGAAGAAGCGCCGGCUAACUACGUGCCAGCAGCCGCGGUAAUACGUAGGGCGCAAGCGUUGUCCGGAAUUAUUGGGCGUAAAGAGCUCGUAGGCGGUUUGUCGCGUCCGCUGUGAAAGCCCGGGGCUCAACCCCGGGUCGGCAGUGGGUACGGGCAGACUAGAGUGCAGUAGGGGAGACUGGAAUUCCUGGUGUAGCGGUGAAAUGCGCAGAUAUCAGGAGGAACACCGAUGGC
rnacentral:rRNA from 1 species